CCAGAUACUAAGUGACAAGGGGCCGGGGCGGGAGCGGGGGGGGGGGGGAGCCCUGCGGGGGCGUGCAAGAGGGGUGCAAGUCUGGCUGGAGACAGCACUAUUUAUAUACUCCGGAGCUCCAGGACAAAGCGAGCAGAUCGGAGUCCCCCCGCCCCAGAGCCUCCCUGGCCCCUCCCCAGCGGCUUUGAUUUCAUUACCCCCCCCUCCCCGGGGGCGGGCUGGCAGGUGCGGGGGUGGGAGCCAUCUCUGAGCCAAAGGUCCGGCUGCUGACGUCGGAGCGCCCGCUCCUGUCAAUGAACGGCAGCGGCAGCCUGGGGACUUGUGUGGCAACGAGGCUACAGACGUCAUCGCCUCCUGUUGGACGCGGGGGGUGUCCGAGCUGCAGCUCCGGCUUAAAGGAAAACUCUCCAAGUUCCAGGCAGCCAGGGAGAGUCGUUCCUGAGAGCACAGGCACCCCCGAAUGCCCAGUGUGCGCGGCGCACAGCCUGGCACACGCGCGUACACACGCACACACGCGCGCGCUCACACUCGCACUCAUGUUCUCCCUAGAUGUGCGGGUCCAAACUUGCGGCCGCAGAGAGGAUGAGCUGAAAUGGACCGGUCUUCGUUGGUGCCUAGAGUGCUCCACGCGGCUUCCCUGGAGACCCCCCCGGGGGGGGGGUAGGGAAAGAAGAAUACCACACUCGGUUUAGAGUUGUCUCCCCCUUUCCUGAGAAGAUCUGCGCGAAAUCCAGGGUGCCCGGAGCCUUUGGAAUAUGCCUGCUGAGCGGAGCAGAAGCGAGCGUUCUUGGAGAGGUCCCGAACUUGGGCCACCGGCCUCGCUUGGCAACUUGCUUUGCGCAGUUCUCAAUGGAGCCCUGGACCCACAGUGUUCCUGGCCGGUUGGCUUAUUUUUUCCCUCCGUUCCCCUCUCUCUUUUUUAAACAUACCAACUUGAAACGAAGCGGAGAGCAGAUCCGCACUUCAGCACACUUUGGCGGGAUAACAACUUCAGGUCCCUCGGCUCUGACACCUGAUCUUCACUGCCUCUUGCCUGGAAUGGAAAUCAGAACUUUCACAGAGUUGCUCUGUUCUGCCGUUGCCGAUUACGGCCCGUGGGAUCAAGUGCAGCAAAGAAUGCUGCCAGUCAAGAACCAUCUCUGGACUCCAGCCAGCCCAGGUCAGCUGGCAGAGCAACUGCUCCCUCGGCACCCACGCCCCCCCCUGCCAGGUGACUCACUGGACACGUGGGGUGGGUCCUGCCUGCCCUGUAGUCUGAGGCUUCCAGGAGCUGGGCAGCCUGGCUUGUGUCCUGGGCCACGGAUGGUGUGGCCCUCAUGGAGUCAGAAGCCAGGAUCAGCUGUUUUCUCAAGGCUCUGGAAGGAUCCAAGUGUCUCCCAGCCUUCAUGCAGUGUUUCCUGCUACUUUCCCUCAUUUCUCCGGGGUGGCCCCACAGAUGUGAUCCAGCAUCUAAGGGGGGUUUGGCCUCCCUUCCUCCCCACCUGGGAAUGUUAGGGACUUAACAAAGACAUAAUUUCACAUUUGUAUGCGGCAAUCCAUGGGGACUGGUGAGUCACAGUCAAGAUUGGACAAACAACCCCUUGCUCCUGGUCAGGGACCCCCAAAACCCACACAAAGGGGAAAAAAAUCACUCACGUUUCUUGUGACGAUAACUUGAAUUUUGUUGCUUAAUGAAGAUGCCUAGAAGCUAAAGGAACAUCAGUUAAUUUCAUUUUUAUUAAUUGAAAAUCUAUAACGAAACAGAAGAAAGGUAUAUGAAUAUGAGAAGCAGAACAAGGUGAUUACUUAUAUGGUCUCGGACUAUGGGCAGAAUUACUUCCAGUCCAGUCAGACGGUGCUCGUGGGGGAAGGUGCCUGGCGCACAAGAGUCGUGACCACCUCCGCAUUCAGAUUUUAAACUGUGUGGGAGGAGGUACCCCAGAAUAUGUAAGGGAGGCAGACACCAUUUUGUCACUAUAAGAUGUCUUAGCACACGUUCCCAGAAGGCCUCUUGAAAACCUACUCCUCCCCUUUCACCCAGGCUGGAGCAGGUCAGCCUUGGCUGACGAACUGGGUUACCUGACUCCGUUCCCAUCUCCCGGCUAGGAUGGCCCACACUGAGGAUGGAGGGCUCUGGAGGAAGAGUAGAGAGGCUGACACCUUGGGCUGUUUGGGACCACAGAGAAGUCGCUGAGGUUCCUGGGGCGAGCUGGGGAGGCAGGAGAUCAGGAGGGUUGAACGGGAGAAGCUCCCGGUCCCUUCCCGCAGCCCCUUCCCGCAGCACGCUCCACCCGCCCCUACCUCCACCGCUGUGUCCAACAGGAGCCGAGGAUUUCCCAUUUGGCUUAAGAUACCUAUGUCUCUUUUAACACAAACUCUUACAUUUUCCUAGUGCAGCAGUUGUAGGUACUAAAAAAACAUUGAUUUUCUUAAAAGUCCGUGGUGUUCCAUCGUAAGAUGAGACAAAGAUAGCUCUGUGAUAUCUCCUCUGAUUUCCCAUUGGCCUGGCACUGGAUGAUUUUUUUGUGUGUUUUUAAAUGUUUGUGUGUUUGGGUCUAUAAAUAAAAACCAAAAACUAAGCAAAACAAUAUGACAUCUUGACAAGUGGAAGAGGGAGAGAAGACAUUUGUGAGGUACAAAAGAAGGACAUCGUACAGAAUGUCAAUAGGUAUCUCAGAAACCAUUAAAAAAGAUUUUUAAUGAAAAAUGAUUCCUGAAAUUUUUAAGUAUACAGAAACUUACAAAAUAUUAAAGGUGAAUUUAAAUGUGAAUUCCUAUCCCAGGCAGUGUGAUUUCUUACCAGAGAGAUAGGAAUCUGUGUUUAAAAGUUAUAUUAGGCUACUUUAUAUAGAUAAAGGGUUACCCGUCAGGAUCAGUGCCUGGAGGUUUUCAGAGAAAAAAGGAAGGUAUUUUUUAUGGGUCCUUCUCACAGCUGGAGGUGAGGUUUGCAUAGAGUGUAUAUGGACGUUAAAGUUCUGACGAGUUCAAACUGCUGAGGAUUAACAAUUUGAAGUCGGCUUCUGGAUUUUGUGAGAAUCACCCACUUGUGUCAGCCUGUCUAAGAAAGUGCAGCUCAAUGGCACGGGAUUGAUGGGGGACAGAGCAGGACUGACGGGGCAUCUCUUCUUCAUGAUCCACACAGAAGGAUGGGCCGUAGAGCUGACCGGGCCGCCGAACC
rnacentral:lncRNA from 1 species